UACGUAGGAUGCAAGCGUUGUCCGGAUUUACUGGGCGUAAAGCGCGCGCAGGCGGCACUCUAAGUACGUCGUGAAAUAUCCCGGCUCAACCGGGAGGGUGCGAUGUAGACUAGGGAGCUAGAGGUCGGUAGAGGGGGGUGGAAUUGCUGGUGUAGCGGUGAAAUGCGUAGAGAUCAGCAGGAACGCCCGUGGCGAAGGCGGCCCCCUGGGCUGUACCUGACGCUGAGGCGCGAAGGCUAGGGGAGCAAACGGG
rnacentral:rRNA from 1 species